GGAGGGAGACUACACAGCCUCUCUAGCCAAUGUAUGCCAGUGUUCAGUCACCUGCACAAUAAAAAGGUAUUUCAUU